CUUACUUUACCUGUAAAGGGUUAACAAAGUUCCCCAGGUAAGGGAAAAGGAGUGUGCACCUGACCAAAAGAGCCAAUGGGAAGGCUAAAACUUUUUUAAAUGGGAAAAAAACUUCCCCUUUGUCUGUUGUUCUCGGGGGAAGGAGACAUGGAGCAGCAAUGCUAUAAGCAGAAAUGCUGUGUAAGGCUUGAACCAGAUAGGUCUGGGGAGCAGAUCCACGACGGUGGAUCAAAGCAAGUUCGAUAUAACGUGGUUUCACCCAUAACACGGAGGAAUUUGUAGAGAAUCUCAAGGUGGAAGGCAAUUUGAGCGAGAGUGACCAUGAAAUGACAGAUUUCAUGAUUCUAAGAAAAAGAAGGAGUGAGAGCAGCGGAAUAAGGACAAAGGGUUUCAAGAAGGCAGACUUUAACAGACUGAGAGAACUGGUAGGCAACAUCCCAUGGGAAGAAAAACUCAAGGAAAAAAGGAGUUCAGGAGAACUGACAGUUUCUCAAGGAGGCAAUAUUAAAGGCAGAACUGUAAACUAUCCCAAUAGGACAGAAAGAUGGGGAGAAUAGCAAGAGGCCAUUAUGGCUCCCUCAGGAGUUCUUUAAUGACCUGAAAAUCAAAAAGGAAUUCUAGAAAAAAAAGAAACAUGGCUGUGCUAAGGAGGAGUAAAAAGAAUAGCACAAGCAUGUAGGGACAAAAAUCAGAAAUGCUAAUGUGAUAUAUUUGCAUGUAUUGAACAAAGUCUUGAAUCUGUGUAUGUGAAUUUGCAGUUAUAGUUUCAUAAGUAGUUGCUUAUGUUGAAUCAGUUGUUAUCUAGUGGUAACUAUGUUUUUCUUCUCUCUCUCUGCAAUAUAAGAGUCAGUCAGUCAUCGUGGCUCCAACCGUGUGUACUGGUCUGUGUUUCUAAUCAGAGAUUUGGGCUCUAUGCGCCCUACACUACUAUUGGCGACGAGGAUUUCAAGCCCCUUCUAUGCAUCAGAGAAGCAAAACAAUCGACAAUGUUGCUUGCAGCCCCAGAGCUGGGAAGGAGUCUAGUACAACAGAGUUCUCCAAACUACUACACUAACUGCAGCUAGGUGAAACGCAAGGCUAUACUGGAAACGUUAAGGCCUUCCAUAGUGCCAUAGAGGACUGGCCCACAUACAGAGAGAGGCUGGAGCAAUAUUUUGAAGUAAAUGAGAUGCCCCCAGAAAAACAGGUAGAAGUGUUACUGAGUGUGAUUAAAGGAAAAAUAUACCAUUUAGUAAUCAGUCUGAUUGCCCCAAAGAAGCCAGCAAGCAAAACCUUUAAAGAGAUAGUGCAAAUGAUUCAAGAACACUUGGCACCCAAGCCCCUGACGAUAGCAGAAAGGUUAAUGUUUCGUAAGUAGAAUCAACUUGAAGGUAAAUGUAUUUCCUCUGCAACGGAGAUAAAAAGAUUAUCAGAACACUGGCUUUUAAGAUGGGCUUAACGAGGCACUCAGAGACGGUUUUGUGUGCGGACUGCUUAAUGAAAGCAUACAGUAGAGAUUUUUAACUAAGGAAAAUCUCAUUUUUAAACGCACAGGAGAAAUUACGGCAAGGGAUACAAUAGAACUGCAUAACAGAGCUAAAACAGAAGUAGGAAUGCAUAAACUAAUUGUAACCCUGGUCCACUCACACAUAUGUUAUUGGUGUGAAAAAGGUUUCUGCCUUCUUAUUGUCCAUUUAAAGAUGCAUAUUGCAGAAGCUGUAAUAAAAAGGUCAGAUCCAAGCUGUUUUUCAUAUUAAGAGAAAAAAGGAAGCAACCAAAUCAGUAUAAAAAAAGGAAUAUCAAUCUAUACACACAGAAGCCAGCUCGGAUAUAGAUAGUGUGAGCAAAACUGACAAGUUAGCAAUCUGUUUGAAACCGAGGGUGGCAGGAAAAACACUCAGAAUGGAAUUAGACACAGGUUCCACAGUGACUUAUUUCAUAUAAGCUCAAGUUUCACAAAGCUCGACCUGUUCCUUACAAUAUCUGUCAAAGGUAGAUGCUCAACUGUAACAUCUGGAAAGAGAAUACAUACUUUCAAAAGUGGCCUGGAGCGAGUGGGGAACUUCUAUUGUUCCAACUGUUAAAAAAUGUCGUGCUGUUAGGGUGUGUGGAGAUUUUAAGGUCACCAUAAACCCUGUACUGAACAUUGAAAAAUGCCCUCUGCCUCGAAUUUGAGACUUUUUGCUACACUGGCAGCAGGACAAUGAUUCAGCAAAAUUGAUUUGUCAUAGGUUACCAACAGAUGGAGGUAGAGGAAGAGUCUAAGGCAUACCUCACAAUCAACACACACAAGUGUCUGUACCAGUACAACAAGCUAGUGUUUGGCAUUGCUCCAGCUCCUGUUUAUGGUAAUGGGCAACGGACCAAGUUUUGCAAGGUAUUCUGAGAACAGAGUGUUCUUUGAAUGACAUUAUUGUGACCGGUGGAUGUGAUGAAGAACAUCUGGAAACCCUGAAAAGGGUAUUAAAAUAUCUAGAAGAAUUUGGAUUACGAGCCAAUUGCAUAAAAUGGAAAUUUCUCAAGAACUCAGUAGCUUACAGUGUUCACAUUCGUGAUGCACAAGGCCUACUUAAAUCUCAGAAGAAGAUUAAAGAGCCCUGAAAUCUCCACCACCAAAGAUGUGUCCCAACUUAGAUUAUUUCUAGGAUUUAUCAACUACAUUAGCCAAUUUAUACCAAAUCUAGCAACUGCAUUACAUCUGCUAAACUGUUUACUGCAAACUGGUCAAAAGUGGGUCUGAUCUCAUGAGUGUCAAAAAAAAACAAAACACUUUCCUGGAAGCAAAAGAACUGGUCACAUCAGACAACAUGCUUACACGCUUUAACCCAUCCUUGCCUAUCAAAUUAACAUUGAUGCUUCCUGACAUGGAACUGGGACGGUUAUAUGGCACACCAUGCCAGAUGGCAGUGAGAGACCUACAGAAUUUUCCUCCAGAUCUUUCAGAAUGUAACUAUGCACAAAAAAGUCAAAGAGCUUUCAGUCUGGUAUGGGGUGUGAAGAAAUUCAGACCAUAUCUAUAUGGGAGGAAAUUCAUCUUUGUCCUGGACCACCAACCCCUAGUUGCAAUCCUUCAUCUGAGGAAGGGUGUUUCUAUGACAAUGACAGCAUGUAUGCAACACUGGGCUCUCUUAGAAUCAUAAAAUUGUAGAACCAUAGGGUUAGACAGGACCACAAGAGUCAUCUAGUCUAACCCCCUGCCAAGAUGCAGCAUUUGUUGUGUCUAAACCAUCCGAGACAGAUGGCUAUCCAGCCUCCUUUUGAAAACCUACAGUGAAGGAGAUUCCAUGACUUCCCUAGGCCAUUGUCCUAUUAUUCUUACAAUUAGGAUGUUUUUCUUAGCUGGUUACGUCUAGGACAUCGAAUUCAAAAGAAUAGAAGUGCACGCAAAUGCAGAUGGGCUCUCUCACCUACCCUUGCUAGAUGGAAAGUGACCUGUAAUAGAGACAGAAUCUAUCGCAUUUGUCAACUUGUUUCACAUUAGAUGUGCCCCAGUGACUUGUAGUGUGAUUGAGCAGAAACCAAGAGGGAUCCCACACUACCUUGGUUUUAUGAAGCCACCAUGAAGGGCUGUAAAUAUAAUGACAGCCCUAAUCUGGCAUCCAUACGCAUGCAAUGGUGAUUUUACCAUACAUCAAGCAUGUAUCAUGUGGGGAAUUUGUGUUGUUAUACCUAUUAAACUGCACACAAGAAUUUUAGAAGAGCUCCACAUAGAUCACCUAAGGAUAGUAAAAAUGAAGGCACUUGCCCGAAGUUUGUAAGGUGGCCAAGCACUGACCAACAAAUAUAGCUGCUUGCUAAGGAAUUUCAGGAUGCCAACAAGUACAGCAUAUGCCUAAACAGUGCCAUUACACCUUUGGGCAUGGCCAUCAGUUCCCUUGGAAUGUCUGCGUAUUGAUUUUGCAGGGCCAUUUUUCGCAAUGAUGUGUCUAGUAGAGGUGGAUGCCAUUUCCAAAUGGAGGGCGGGGGGGGUCGGCUUCAGAGCCUGAGAUCCAGCCUAAGCCACUAAUUUAAAAGCACUGUCUACACAGCUAUUUUUAGAGUGGUAGUGAGCUCGAGUCUGUUGACCUCAAUGCUACAGGCUACUGCAUACUUCAUAGACACAUUCUUUGGGACAGAGUGGUUUUCAGGGAGGCCUCAUUUCCUAGUGGUUCUCUUCUAAUACCUAAGAACUUGGUGAAAAAGCACCAUUCUCUUCAAGCCAAAGUUCUCUGUCUAGUUCCUUGGAGUGGAAUUUGGAUUGCCAAUCCACCGAAUAAUGUAAAUCAGCACAUUAUGUGCUAGCUGACUGAAUAUCCAAAGAGGCAAGACAUUUUCUGUUGUGUCUUCUUCCAUAAGAAUUGUGGCUACAUUACCAUAUGACUGCACAAUGCCAGGUGUUUACAGCUUUACUUUCUCUUUUGCAAAAUAUUAUUUUGCAUAGUGCUAAAAUGUUUUCGCAAAGCUAAACUAAUCACCACGUCUUAUGAAAAUUAAGAUGCUAUGUUUUUGCGAAACACUGACAAUGUGCUCAGUGCUGCAUGAAACAAACACACAGAUCCAGACUCUCAUGCUGUAGUUCUCCUUGAUUUCAAUGGAAAUAACUGUGCAGAAGGUACUACUCAGCAAAAUUAAGGGCCAGAUUCUGAUACCAUCUUCCAUCCUUUUACAAUUGCAAAAGAGAAACGGAGGGCAAGUAGAACCAGUCAGGGAGAAAGGCUUGAGUAUGGAGCAAUCACAGCAACAGCCACAGCAAUUGCUAAGUGUGAAUAAGACAAGAAAAUGGAAUGUAAAGUAGGUCUGCUAGACAGCCAAUAAGUCUAGCUGAGAUCUUUCUCAACAGUCCUUCAAUGAGAAAAAAGUAAAAUAACAAACAUGGAGUAAAAAGGAAGCUUAGCAUCAAGUACACUGACAUUUUUGUCUAUGUUUUAGAUUAACAUUUUGCAUAUGAAGUUGAGAGAAGAGGAUUCUUACCCCAUAUGAGCCAGACAAAGUGUAAAUCACCACUCUCUCUCCCCACCUCACUGAGCCAUUCCUACACCUUCCUUCUGAGCAGAAUGCCAGUCAUGGCAAAAUAUUACUUUUUAUAUAGUGCUAUAGGUAAACAUGGGACUUUACAAUCAUGCAGACAGUCCUAUGCCUACAGGAAUUUACAGACUGUGCAACUGAUCCUGGGAGGUGCCUAGCACCUCAAUUCCCAUUCCAGCAUUAGAGUUUGGAGCCUUCAGCACCUUCCAGGUAACAUUUAACAAGUUGCAAGAUUGGGCCUUAAAUUAACCAAGAGGGAUGCGGUUUCUGUGAUUUGAGCAGCUGUCCAUUAUGUACUCCAAAUCAAAUUCAUUUUCACGCAUCUUAGAAUAAACAGAUAAUUCCCAUAAGCAAAAUGCUUAUAUACUGAACUAGUGGUUAGCCUAGCGUUGUCUCCUCCUCAAUAAAUUCCCACUGAAAUACAUUAUUUAAAUAAAUCAGUUGAGUUCAAUCAAUCAUUUUUUCCGCUUUUCUAUCUUCUCUAUUACAGGUAAACCUCAAUUAUCCAAUUCCCAAUCUGAAAUUUGAAUUUAUGCCCUAGAUCAAAAUGCAUAUAGAAACAAUUUCUGUUUACUGAUAACUCUGAUUAUCUGACUGUUUUGGUUGAUGAAUCACACUUUACCUGUAAACUAUCUGAAUACCAGCUAUGAGCUCUUUCCUGGCACCAACACUUUCAAAUAUAAUUACACAUUUAUAGAAAUAGGUUUUGCAAGAAAAUAAUUCUCAUGGUUGUCCACAAGGUGGCAAACAGUUUUCUUUGCUGAAAAAGGUACAAUAUUCAGAACUGUCUUGGGGGGUGAGUGUGGGGGGUUGAAUUAAAAAAAUAACCCUUAAUUUUUUCCUAUUAUUUAAAACAUGCUGACUAGCUUUCUUUGUAAAUAUGUUUUAAAACUGCUGUCACUUUAAUAAACUAGAACAUAAAACA